rnacentral:lncRNA from 1 species
UCAGGUGGAAGUCCAUCCGGCAGCAGACACAAGGCAGUCGAUUGCCACGUGGUAAUUUUGCUAAUGAAAUUGGAAAUAUGAUAAGGUGUUACCAAUUACUGAGACAGGCUUCCAGGUCGAAGCAAAGGCAUCUCUCUGCGAUUAAGGAAAGACGAAGAAGUGUCAAUGGAAUGAGAUUGAGAUGAAUAGCCAGCACCAGAUGAAAUUUCUUUUUUCGGAUUGGACUCGGCUGGAGUGAGAUCGAUAGUCGGAAAUAGCUGGACUUACUUAAGGGCUUGACUUGCGGUUCCAGGCUUAGAUGUCCCAGUUCUGCUCUUCCAACUGCUAAUGGAUGGGGAACGCACAAGGCAUUGCUUGGCAGGUGCCUAGCCACACUACGAGAAGGCUAUCGAAUCACUGAGGGAAUAGGUCACUCAAGCAGGAGAAGAGUUCGCCAAGAGCUACCCUUUUGAAGUGAAGAGAAGAAGGUUCAAACUUUCAUUAUGUCCUCGAGAUGCAUCAACCCAAUCCGUUGACGAUAUAGUGGUGAAGUAAGGCAAAGGGGAGAAUCACAUUGCAGUAUUGGAUCGGGUCUUCGAGAGGUGUCGAGCGAAUAAGGCCUCAUUUGGUUUGGCAUUUCAGUGUGUUGCGGUUAAUUCUUUUUUUUUUUUUCUCAAUCUCACCAUUAUACAUGUUUGGAUAACACAAGUAUGAUGGUUUGAGUGUGUGGACGGCACCGACACCAGUUGAAGACUAGACCUUUGGGGUUUAGUGGAUAACUGGUAUCCCAAUAAUUCUCUUUUAUCCUCAUUAUUUUUUUUUCCAUUCCUAUCAUACUAUAAAUGAGUUUUUAUUUUUAAAAAAUCCAUAAAUUCUAUUUGUUUUCUUCACCUCUUUUUCUUUCUCCCAUUUUCCCUAAACCAUCCCAAAUUCCUAACCCUAAAUUGCCUAUUCUCUAUAUUGUUGCUCCUUCCUCUUGUCACCUGUUCCAUUUUGUUGUCUCCUUCAAUUUGCAUGGAAGCUGUUGUUGAUUUGAAGCUAUUCGAUGAAUGGGGUUUUAAGAAUUGAAAGGUAUGAUUCCUUUAUUUUUUACCUAAAAUCAAAAUUGCUUUGGAUUAAUCUGUUUUGUUAUUAUUUGAUUUGUUCAAAAGUUAAGGUUUAAAUGCAAAAUACUAGCAGCAACUUGAUACCUCUUCAAUCUUUUGGCAAACAAGUUUUCCAAAGCUAAAAUUUGACACAACCAGCAACUUUGUUUCAACCUUAUCCAUUUCAAUGUUUACCUUUAGUACAUCUUCAAACUAAUUCUCUACUUCUUUCUUCACCACUUUUCUACAACGAAUCUCUAUUUCCUUUCUCAAUUCUUGGUCUUGCUUUCGAGUCUUUACUUCAGCCAAUCUUCUUCUAAGAUCAUUCAUAUUUUCUUCAAGUUUUUGGUGAUGAUCUAUGUAUCUAGAGGUUAGAUAGCCAAAGCACUAUUAGACCUACAAGCUCCAUAAAUAAGCUACUCCCUGUUGUUUAAAACUAAUGUAUGAUUAUAUCUCCAUAUAAUAUAAGAUAUAAAAUUUUAUCUUUUACAUUUACUAUUAUAUAUGGGAUACGUUACAAAAAAAUGUUAGGUUUUUUAAGGCAAGAAGGAUUUUUAUUAAUAAGGGAAAAAUACAAAGGAUGCAUAAAAUAAAACAAGGGAUGAUCAUCAUCAACCCAUAAACUAUAGCCAAAACCAAUAUUUCAACCCAAAUUCAAUAAAACCAAGAUAUUACAUAAAAUUACAAACGAUGCAAUUUGAUUGCAAAGAGUCAACCAAACUUUAAGAAGUUCAAAGAUUAGAGCUUUAAGCUUCAUAUAAGCCAUUUAUCAAACAUGAAGUGAGCAUGAAAAGAGAAGAACCGAGUACUUGACCAAAGGAAACAGAAUCAGCCUAACACCAGUAAUCAACACAACAUUAAAUUAUAUAUAAUACUUAAUGGCAUAGUAAAAAAAAAAACCCUAACAUGAAGAAAGAUUGAGCAUUUAAUACAAAAAAAAUGUUAUUAAAUCUCAAAUUUUAACCUGCUCUUCUAAAGGAAGAAAACUUAGAAGAAAACAAAAACAAAAUUAAAGUUUUGUUACCAUGAGAAUAACGUUUACAUUUUAGUUUUUAAAACUAUUCAUAUCAGUCUUUUGCUGGAAUGCAAGAGUUUUAACUUCGGUAAUCAUAUGUUCAUAUUAAAAUCUUGACAAACUUAAAUAUAAAAAAGAGUAUAAAGGAAAAAUAUAAACCAAUUUUCAAUAAUAAUAAACAUCAAAGACCUAAGCAAAUAUCCUAACAAAAGAAAUUUAACAAAUAAUUUCAAAAAUAAAUUGAAAGAGUAAAAGUAUCUAGUUUUUUCUCCAAGUUAUUUGGAAAAGAUGAAGCACAAAUGUUAAUUCUGUUAGUGUAUGCGUGUGUGUGAGUUAAAAUAUUAUGAAAAUAUUCCAUGGGAGACAAUUUAGGACAGAUUAAUUAUGAGCAUUAAUGUAUAGUUUGUAACUGAUUCUUUUUCUUAGUAUUAUCUAUCUAAUGAAAGGCUAAUAUAAAGGAUUAGCAAGUUGUUCUUUAUAGCCUUAAUUCUAACAUGGUAUUAGAGCCAACAAUGCAACCCUAGCUGCUGCCGCUCAUUCUUCUCUCUCUCUUUCUCCAAACCUUUCUGUGAUAGCCUUAUAUCGUCACCUAAGCUAUCGCUACUACAGACUUUAAUCUCGCAGCCCUAAAGCUAUGUACUUAAAACUUUUCUUUCCUCUUCAAUAGUCCUCAUUAGUUGAAAGAGGGCCACCCCUUUAUUUUCAAAGUUAGCAAAAAGAAGGAGUUGCAACCUCUUCAUGAAUGAUAGAUUAAAAGAGACAAGUUUUUCUCGGUGUAGAAUGUGGUUGCAAAACUAAAGAUGGAGUUCUUGAUUGUUGAUUAGGGGUUAUGUUACCCGAUUGAAGGAUUACCAAUUGUGUUCUUGAAGAAGAAGGUUUUGUGGCCAUGACAAGGAAGAGGCAAUCGCAUUGAAGGUGAUAACUCAAAAGAUUAUCAUAGGCUCACAAUUGUUGGAUAAGAAACUUGAUGGCUCCAACUACUUGUCAUAGAGCAAGAAUAUGUUGAUAACCUUGCGAGGUCUUGAAAAGGCUUGGUUUCUAACGAGUGAGCCGUUAGUAAAAAAAGCUUGAAGUAUGCAACAUGACAGUAGAAAGAUAAUCAAGUACUUAGACAAUUGUUCUACUCGAUAGAACAACAAGUCAAGGUGAUUUUUAAUCAAUACUUUACAAGUAAGAAGCUUUGAGAUGUUUUAAAAACUGUUUAUGCAAAUUCUAAGAAUUGGUAGAAGAUCUCAGAUGUUAUUAAGGCGUGAACUAAAAUUGAGCAGCCUGAUAGGAGCUUUAGGGAAUAUUUUGUUGCAUUCAAAGAGGUAUAUAAUGAGUUUAAUGAACUCAUGCCCUUGUUUAUCGAUUUAAAAACAAACCAAAAGUAACGAGAGGCUCUAGCUGUAAUGUUUUCUUAAUAGGAUUGAGGAAGAAGUACUAGUGCUAGUACUCCAAUAUUAGCCAGUAAAGAUCCAUUUUUUUAACUAGAUGCUUAUAAGUGCUUGAACAGGGUCACCUAAUAUCAUUCUCUACAAUAAGACAUAGUAGUAUUUAUGGCCUUACAGUGUGAAAGGCGAGCAUCAUGUAGAUGACAUGGUGGAUGAGGUAAAAGACAUGAAACUGGUAAAGAAAAGCUAUAGUCUUGCUAUUAUUAUGGAUAGCAGAGAUACUUACAAAAUAUUUAUCUGUAUUUUCUAGGUAAUUCUAGCCCACUAGUAGCAUAUGUGACUAAUGCUGCAUUUCAGCCUCAAAAGUAAGAGGAAAAAAGAGUUCAGUUAUCUCAGAAUAAGUAUUAUCAGGUUAUUCACAUGUUUUAAAAUCAAACUUUGAUCUUUUCUUUGAUAGUAACUUUUAUACAAGGUAAAUCUACUGCAUGCCUAGUUACUUUUUUUAUGACUUGGGUGAUUGAUUCAAGAGUUUUGGAUCACAUGAUGGGUACUAUGGGUACUACAGAUACUCUUAUUCAUAUACUUUUAUGACAAGGAAACAACCUAUUUUGGUUGUUGAUGAAAACUUCAUAGAUAUUGUGGAAAGUGGUAAAGCUCGACCUAUAUCUACAUUAUUUUUACAUUAUGUGUUACAUGUCCCUUCUUUUUCUUUUAACUUACUUUAAAUUAUUUAGAUUACAAAAAAUUUGAAUUAGUGUCUCAUUUUUUCCUAUUUAUUGUGUUUUUUAAGAUUUGUUUACAAAAUAGACUAUUGGUAGGAAAAAGAACGAAUGAGGUUUUUAUGUGCUUGAUGACAUACAAAAGAUAAAGUUUGGAUUAAUGGCAUACUUAAGAGAAUUGUCAUUAGCUUAUGAGUCCCAUUAUUGUUUUAGUGAUCCAUUCAUGUCAAUUUUAUGAGCUAUGUGUCCCCAUUUAUCAUUUUUUAGUUUUGAUUGUAAAAUGUGCAAGUUUGCCAAAUUGCAUAAAAUGUCUUAUCAAUCUCAAUUUAAUAAAAGAAAAAAGUUUCUUUUUGUUGUGAUUCAUUCUGAUGUAUGGGGGCCUUAUCCUAUUAUUUUAAACUCUAGUUAUAAAUACUUUGACAUUAGUUAAUGAUUAUUCAUGAGUUUAUUGCUUGUAUUUGUUGUAAAGCCACUAUGAAUUAUUUUGUCUUCAUUACCUUUCAUGUAGAAAUAGAUAAUCAAUUCAGUAAGUCUAUCAAAAUUUUAGGGAAUGAUAAUGGGGAAGAGUAUUUUUCUACAGAGUUUGUUUAAUUCCUAAAUGCAAAAGGUAUUGUUCAUCAGUCUUCAUGUAUAGAUACCCUACAACAAAAUGAGGUUGCUGAAAAGAAGAAUCAUCUUUAUUAGAAGUGGUUAAAGCUCUUUUGUUUCAAAUGAAGGUCGUUAAGGUGUUUUGGAGUAAAGUUAUUCUCACAGCAUGGUAUCUUACAAAUUAUUUGUCAUUCUCGAUUGUUAAAGAAAAAGUUCUUUUUUAAGUAUUAUAUCUUGAUCAUCCCUUAUUUUUAAUCUCCCUCAAGGUGUUUGGUUGCACAUGCUUUAUUCAUGACAGUCUCUCAAGUUGCACUAAGUUAGACCUACAUUCCAUUAAGUGUAUCUUUCUAGGUUAUUUAAAUGUCUAGAUAGGGUAUUAAUGCUACUUUCCAAACUUGAGUUACUUUAUUAUUUUGGCAGAUAUAAUGUCUCAUGAGUUAGUUUUUUUUUUUCUUUGGUACUACAGUAUCAUCCAUCACCCAUUAGAUAAGAAGAAAAAGAUUUUCUCAUUUUAUACAUAGUACAAUGGUUAAUGUGUCUCUUUUUGAGGCAUGCCUAGAUACUGGAUUUGGUCAUAGAUACACUAAAAAAACUUACCUAGAUCCACCUAUAAAAAUUUCCCCUAUCUAGAUAGUUUUUUCAUCGAUGGAUCUGUCUUUAGACACUAUGGUUGAAGAUGUACCAAUCACUUUAUGAAAAAGUAUGUGAAUUUGUAAAAAUUUUUCUUUAUACACACCCUCAUACAGAGGACUUUUUAUCCAACUUUAAACUUGUAUUGCCACAAUUAAUGCGAUUAUUGUUCUACAUACUCUGCAUGAUGCUUUUACAGAUUUAGGAUGGCGUAAGGCUAUAGAGGAUGAGAUGAUGGCCUUAGAGGCCAACCAUACAUGGAACUUGGUUUCUCUGCCAAAAAGGAAGCAAACUAUUGGGUGCAAAUGGGUUUACAUCACAAAAUUGAAUCCUAAUGGUUCAAUGGAUAGAUUGAAGGCAAGGCUAGCAGUGAAAGGAUAUGCGCAGACAUAUGGAGUAUAUUAUUUUGAUACCUUUUCACCAGUGGCAAAGAUGACAUCUAUUUGCUUAUUUCUUAGUUUUUCUGUUACACAUAAAUGGGCAUUACACCAAUUGGAUGUGAAGAAUGCUUUUUGACAUGGUGACUUGACUGAAGAGGUAUAUAUGGACCAACCACAAGGGUUUGUUGUUCAGGGAGAGUCUAGAAAGGUAUGUCAUUUACGUAGGUCUUUGUAUGGUCUAAAGUAAUUUUAGCGUGCAUGGUUCGAUAAAUUUAGUGUAGCUCUUGUUCAAUAUGGUAAGCAACAGAAUGAGAAAGAUCAUUCAAUAUUUUAUAUGCGGUAAAGUAUAGAGCCAUGGCUUUGGCUACAAUAGAGAUAUUAUGAAUGGUUCAAUUUUUAGAUGAAAUUAGGCUUUCAGUUUGGACCCCUAUAAAGUUAUGGUGUGAUAAUCAAGCGACAAUUCAUAUUGCUUUCAACCCAGUGUUUGGUGAAAGAACCAAGCAUAUAAAAGUUUAUUGUCAUUUCAUUAGGGAAAAGUUACAGAGUGGAACAAUAUUAUUGAAGCAUGUGCGCAUAAAGGAACAACUAGUCGAUAUUCUUAUGAAAUCACUUCAAAUAGUUCGAGUUGAUUAUAUAUAUAGCAAACUAUAUAUAUGCUCUAACUUAAGGAUAAGUGUUAGUUUAUACAUGUGUGUGAGUUGGAAUAUUAUGAGAAUAUUUCAUAAGAGAGUUUAGGACAAAUUAAUUGAGAGCAUUAAUGUGUAAUUUGUAAUUGAUUAUCUUUCCUUAGUAUUAUUUAUAUAAUGAAAGGCUUAUCCAAGAGAUUAGCAAGUUGUUCUCUAAAGUAAACUUGAUGACUUUUACAUAACUAUAGAAGUUGUAUUUAGAUUGGGUUGUGUUGGUUAUGGAACUGGCUUGUAAGUGAUGCACACUUUCUUUUCAUGGAGAUGGCCCUGAAAAAUGUUUAUUUGGUCUAUAAUAAUUAUUUAAGUUUUAUUACUCAAGAGUUGUAUUGAAGUUUUAUUAUGGCCUUUAACUUUUUAAAUAUAUAGAUUGUAAACUUGUGAUUUUGUGUUUUGUCAAAAGAGGUGGUGUAACCCCUUUGGUGUUUAGUUUUUUUGGUAUCAUUUAGGUGGUAUUUUAUCAGUUUUAUUUUAAACUUUCAGUUUUAGUGCUAAUAAGGAGACUAGAAAUUCAAAGACACUAUCUGUGUUCCAUCAUUGAAGCAUAAUCUAACAUAAAGAUAGGUCACCUUAUUUUCUCUAUUAAGUUUCAUAAUUCAAAGUUCUCCUUAUGUUGCCUUUGUUUCUAUAAAUGCAUUAAAAAGAAUGUUCGUUUUACUUGAUGAAUACAAACCAUUUUUUCCUUAUAUAUUGGUUCUAUUUUUCUUUAUUGAAUUGUGAUAUUAGUUUAUUUCCUAAUAGUAUGUUAUGUUUGAAAUAAAUUGAUGAAUAAUUUAUUAAAUUUAAAAUAAUAAUAGAUAAUGAAGACAAGAAAUACUGUCAAGGGUGAUACCAUCUUAGCAACCAAAGCUGUUUAGGAUGACGAGCUCACAAUGAUAUUUUAUGAACUAUGUAAAUAAAGUCAAUGCUAGUAAUAAACCAACAACUCAUCUAAAUUCAAAAGGGUGGGAAAAUAUUGUUUCCCUUUUUAGAGCUAAGACAUAAAAAUGUUAUGAGAAAUCUCAAUUGAAAAAUAAGUGGAACACAUUAAAAAAAGAGUGAAGAUUAUGGACUGAGUUACUUAGAAUUCUAUAGGUUUAGGAUGGUGUUAUUUUAAAGAGAUAGUUGAUGCAACUAAGGAGUGGUGGGUUGAAAAAAUAUAAGUUAGUGUUACUUAUAUCAAUAUUAUUAUGUGUUAAAUUAGUUGAAACUCAUAGUGAUAGUAAUCUUUGGAAUUUUUGAAAUAACACUCAAUCAUUUGAAAAUUAUGUAGGAAAAUAACAAUUAUAAAGUAUUUAAAAGAAAUGGAAUGGAGCCACGAUUGAAUAAGUUAAUGCGACAAAUGUUUGGAGACAUUGUGGCCAUUAGAGAGCAUGCGUGGGCACUUUCAUCAGGUGUUCUUCCAAGUGGAGCUUUUGGGGAAGAUGUUACCUCUAUUAAGGGUUUUAAAGAUUUAGAUGAACAUGAUAUUGAGAAUGAGGUUGCACUCAAGGAUGACACAGAUGUAAAUGCCUCUCUUGAAACUUCUAAUAAAAACAAAUAGGUUAUUGGAAUAGUACAAAAUAAAGGUAAAAAACCAACUCCAAUGAAAAGAUCAAUAAAAAACACAUUGACUAUUCAAAUUGAAAAAUUGUAUGAUGGUAUGACUAACCAAAGGAGAUUGAUAAAUGAAAUUAUCUUGCUACCCAUAUUCUAUUUCAGAUGCAAUGGAUAUAUUACGAGCUAUGAGAAGUAAAAUUCCAAGAAAGAGUUAUCUAUAUUUUUUUACCAUCAAAAUAUUCCAAGUUCUAGUAAAGCGAAAGGUGUUCUUGAAUUUAGAUUUGAAUCUUAAAGCUUGGUGGCUUCAAUGUAAGUAUGAUGAAUAAAAUAUUACUGCACGUUUUUCUUCCUUGCUAGCAACAUCUUCAUGUAGCUUUUAACCAUUCUAACAAACACCUCUACCUCCACCACCAACUCCAUCUAGUCCUUAUGGGUCAUUGAUGUGAAAUGAAAGCAAGUGAUUAUAGUUUUUGGUUUAAGACCUAUCAAAAUAUGGUAUUAUGAUAUUUUGAGUUUUUGUGAAUAUAUGUAUGCAUAGGCAUGUUGUAUGUUUCUUUUAAUGUAUAUGUUAGAAUUUUUCAUAAAUGGGCUACUAUUAAUUGAUGAUUUUAAUUUUAAUAAAAUCAACUAAUAGAUUUAGUCUUAAUACAAGACAAGCAUGAGAGCCCAAUUAAUUUAUUAUGAUCACUUAAGUGUGGAUUUUACACAUCUUAUUGGGUCAAUGUGGUAUAACAGUUGUGUAGGCCUUUGGCCUGAUAAACCUUUGAUCGAAAGGUUACUAAGAUUAUUUAAAUAUAAAACUAAGGUCCCCUCUUCACUUUUCACAUUCAGUAAUUGCUUAUUGAGAAAUCGCUACUAGAGAGAAAAGCAAAGAGGAAAACUAUUGUCACUUCAAGAUCGUUUUACUUUUGUGAUUUCAUGAUGACUACCCAAAUAGGUAUUCUUGAUCUUUUUGUUUGAAGUAUAAUGUUCUAAUUUUCACACAAUGAUAUUGGGAUAAGGCUUAUACGUGGUAUCAAAGCCAGGUUGUGUGAAAUUAGGACCAUAAUUUCAUGUUAAUUUAAUUGAUUUCUUGGUGAAUUGCUUGUUUGGGACAAAUAAGUUGUUGUCAAAAUUUUUUAAUUUCGAUCAUUAGUUUUAAAAUUGAUUGAAGGCUUUCAUUCCUCUCUGAGAGGAUUAAAUCUAUAUAAGGAUCAUUUUCUAAUUCUUUGUAUGAAGGGAGAAAUUGUGGUUUAAAAUUUUCAAUUACAAGUUUUGAUCAAAUUUUUGUUUAAAUUAAAAUAUCAAUGUUUUAUGUGUUUGAUUCAAAAUUGAUUGUUGGAUCAUGUCUCUAAUGUGUUAUAAACUUGAGUCAUAGUGAUUAACUUCAUAAAAUAUUGAUGUAUGGUGAUCAAUUAUGAAGAAAACAAAAAUGGGCCUAAACAUAGGUUUGUAAAAUCCAAAUUUUUUUCUCAAAUUGAUUUUAUUUCUGUAGUUUUUAUGCAAUUUUUGCAAGGGUUUUAUAGAAAAUAAGUUUAAUUGAAUGUUUGGGAUUUCAAUUUAAUGAAAAGGGUGAGGAAAAACAUAAAAAUAAAUGGUGAAAAACCCAUUUAGACCUAAACGAGUCAAGAACCACUUUAGUUAAGUUGGGUCAACCAGGCUGAGGGUUGAAAAAGGGAGACCCUCUAUUGCUAGGCAAAGCCCACGCGUAGAAGAAGGUGUGUGCAGUGCAUGUGGGCCCAUCCAAUGAUCACUUUUGUCUCGAUUUUUUCUAACAUGCUCAAAAUUUUAUUUCUAAUUUUUUUAUGAUUUUUUUGGAAUUUUUUAAGUGCAUGAAAUAUUUAUUGUUUAAAUUUCAUGUAUUAUAAAGAAAUUAUUUUGCGUCAUGCAUAUGAUUCUAGUUACUUUAGUUCAUGAUAAAAAAUUUUGGCAUGAUAGGAGUCUAAUGGCAGUAGGUACUCUCCCUAGUUAGACUAAAAUAUUUGUGUACUCUCAGGUUGAACAUUAUGUGCAUAAUUGGUUAGUAAUUAAAAUAAUAGUUUAAAUUAAAUUUGAUAUCAAAGUUUAAAUGUAAUAAACAUUGUUUAUAAGACCUGAUGAGAUACAUCUAAGUUUAGUAUCUUAGCUGGAAUGGUCCAUUGCAUACAUUAAGGUUGAAUAUGCAAACCAAGAAUUUUGGGCAAUUAAUAAAAUUUUCUAGUUUGAAAUUUUUUUUAUUAAUUGAUAUAAAUGCUUGGCUAACAAAGUGGCUUACUUGUUAAAGUUAAUGGAAAAUUUUAUCAUUCUAAAAUUACAUUAUGGUUGUUAAAUUAUCUUAUGCAUUUAUCUGCCUAAAGGAGGUUUAUGUAUAGGAUAAUUUAUUUUGGAACAUAAAGUAUCAUGGUUGAGGGCGUACUAAUCUAGAAAAUUAGUCUGUCCAAAGGGGAUAGGUUUUCAAAAAUUAUGACAUUCUCAUAUUAGCUUUAUGUGAAAAGUUCCUAAUCGCAUGUUGCAUUCUUUGCCCAAUAAAGAGUUUGUGAUAAUGCAUCUGGACCUUUCAGUAAUUGUUAGCACAUAAUGAAUCGUUGCUAUACAACUUAUGUUAUUACCUAUUGACUAAUAUUGCAUUUUGUUUUAAAUAGUAACUUUUACUGUCAAUAACAAUCAAGCCACUAUUGAAGUACUUCAUGGGUUUAAUUAUAAGAGAUGAAAUGAAGAUCUGAACUUUACUUUGAUUAUAAGUGAGAUAAACAUAGCCUUACAUUUUUCAAAGCCUGUUGAUCCUAUUGAAGAAAGUAUUGUUGAGCAAAAGAAAUUUUUUGCCAAAGGGAAAAGGGCAAAUCACAUGUAUUUAUAUGUUAUUAAGAAGUCUAUCUUUAAACACCUUUUGAGUGGGUUGCAUACUAUUGAAAUUGCUAUGGAUCUCUACAAUGCUAUAUGCAAUAGAUACCAAAAAUCAUUAAGUCUGAGGUUGGGGGUGUUUGAGAUUUCAUUAUGAGAAUGAUCCACAUUCAAACCAAAUUAACUUCUCACGAAAUUGUCUUCCCUAACAAAUUUAUUAUUCAUUAUGCCUUUAACUGCUUAUCUAUUGAGUUAACCUAGGUCAAAAUAGCCUACAAUGCUAUAAAUGAAGUUUGGAGUGUUGAUGGUUUUAUCUCAAAAUAUUUUUUUGAAAAAGAAAAACUCCAGAACGAAAAAAGUGAGAGUGCUUAUUCUACCUACUUCAAACCCAAUUAUCAAAAAAAUUAUGGGAAACCUGGGAGAUUUGUUUCUAAUGCUCGUAAGAAAGUUUAGGAUGACAAGGGACAGGGUAGUGGUCAAACUAAAGGGUUAGGAGUCUUAAAGUUAUCAUUAUCAAGUGUUCUUCUUAAAAUAAGAAAGGUCAUAUGAAAUUUGAUUACCCUAAAUAUAAGGCUUGGUUAAAGAAAAAAAUGAAUAAAAAGGUAAUUCACUAGCUCUUGUUUGUUUUGAAUCUUACUUUGUUAGUGCCUUACCAAAUUUGUGGUGACUUGAAAAUGGUGCAAUUAUUCAUGUUACUGUUACCUUGUAAGGGUUCAAAAGCAAAUGGCAAUCAAGUGAGAAAGAGGCCUAACUUAAAGUUGGAAAUAAUGCUAAAGUAUACAUUAGUCAUAUAGGAACAAUAGGUUUGAAUUUGGAUUCUAGCUUUGAACUUGUUUUGGAAAAUGUUUUUUCUGCACCUUUGUUUAGGUGGAAUUUGAUUUCAGUUUCUAUUUUGGAUAAAUGUGGUUACUACUUUGACAUUGAAAAUGGAAAAGUUGACUUGUUUUUAAAUCAAAUGUUCUUGACGGAUUUAAACGUGUUGACAAUUUAAAUAAACUAUGUUUCAAUAAUGAAUAUAGUUGCAAUAAUGUUGAAAAGAUAGUGUCUAAAAGAUCUUUAAUUAAAAAAAACUAUUCAUUGUUGUGAUAUAAAAGGUUAGGUCACAUUUAUGAUGAAAAAGUUUAAAGAUUGAUAAAAGAUGGUAUUUUACCAUCCAUUGAUUUUCAAAAAUUAGACACUUGUGUUGAUUGUGUAAACGAUAAACUAACUAAGACUAAAAAAAAAGGGGCAACUUAUAGUUUUAACCUUUUAAAAAUUAUACAUAUUGAUAUUAGUGGACCUCUUACAUCUAUUUUAUGUGGUAAAAAAUAUUUUAUUACUUUUAUUGAUGACUAUUUUACCUAUGGGUAUCUUUACUUAUUUAGUGAAAAUUUUGAUACUUUUGAUAAAUUCAAAAAUUUUAAGACUGGGGUAAAGAAAUAAUUAGGGAAAGUUAUCAAAGUUAUUAGGUCUGACCGUGGUCGUGAGAAUUAUGAUAGACAUGGUGAAACUGGAUAGCACAUGGGACCAUUUGCCAAAUACUUACAAGAGUGUGGGAUUAUUGCCUAAUAUACUAUGUAUGGUAGUUUUGAAAAAAUGGUGCGGCCAAAAAGCAAAAUUGCACCCUUAAGAAUAUGAUGAAAAAGCAUGAUGAAUAGGACCAAUCUUCUUAAAUCGUUUUAGGGUGAAGCCAUUAAAAUUGCCUUGUAUAUACUUAAUAGAGUACUUAGUAAAUUUAUUCCUAAAACACCUUUUGAAUUGUAAACUAGUGGCAAACCUAGCUUGAACCACUUUCGAGUUUAGGGAUGUCUUGUAAAAGUUAGAAUCUACAACCUUUUUAAAAGAAAGACUAAUCCUAUAAGUACUUGUUGCUUUUUGUAGGGUAUUUAGACCAUUUAAAGGGAUAUAGGUUUUAUCGUCCUACAUGUGGAACUAAGUUUAAAGAGUCGUAAGUGGCAAAGUUUCUUGAGCUAGAUAUUGUUGAUAUAGGUAUGGUAGAGGCUGUGAUUAAUAAUGAACUUGUUAGACAAGUCUCCAUUCUUUUGCCUAGAACAUAGUGCCAUAAUAUGCCAAUGGCCAUAAAGAGAAGAGAUCGGGGGUAACAAGAUACAAACCCUCUUCCUAUUAAUCUUACUUCUAUUAAUGUAUCGCAAGUUGAAGAAAAUGAGAUUGAAAUACCUCUAAAGAGAUCUACCAAAUAUAAAAGAUUUGCUACUUUUGAUAAUUAUGUAAUUUAUUUUGGAGAGAGUGACUAUGAUAUUAGUCAUGUUGUUAAUCCUAUGACUUUUGAUGAAGCCAUUAGGAGUCCACAGUUUGAUGUAUGGAUGGAUGCAAUAAAGGAUGAAAUGAAUUCUAUGACUCAAAAUGGUGUCUAAGAACUUGUUGAACUACUAAAAUGAUGUAAACUCAUUGGUUGUAAAUGGGUGUAUAAAACCAAUAAAGAUUUUAAGGGAAAAAUUGAGAGUUUCAAAGCUAGACUGGUAGCAAAAGGAUUUACUUAAAGGGAAAGAGUGGAUUAUAAUUAAACCUUUUCACUAGUGUCUUCCAAAGAUUCCUUUAAGAUCAUUAUAGCCUUAGUAGCACAUUUUGACUUGGAGCUUCAUCAGAUGGAUGUGAAUAUGGCUUUUCUCAAUGGUGAUAUCAGAGAAAAUGUUUAUAUGGUAUAGCAUAAAAGAUUUCAAGAAUAUGAAAAUGAGCAUUUAGUAUGUCGGCUUAAAAAGUCAAUCUAUAACCUUAAGUAAGCUUCUAGGCAAUGGCAUCAAAAGUUUGAUGAGGUAGUUACUUCUUUGGGUUUUAAGGAAAACAAAAUUGAUCAAUGCAUAUACCUUAAAAUCAGUGAGAGUAAGUAUAUCUUUCUUUUAUAUGUGAAAUAUCUUGCUCGUUGGAAAUGAUGUUGAUUUGUUGCAUGAAACUAAGCAGUUGUUGUCCAAGACAUUUGGCAUGAAAGAUCUUAGGAAUACCUCAUUUGUUCUUAGGAUUGAAAUUCAUAGAGAUAGGUCUCAAAAUCUAUUGAGACUAUUGCAAAGUUUAUACAUUGAUUGUGUGCUUUGCAGGUUUAACAUAUAGCACUAUAAGGUUAGGGAUACACCCAUUGCGAAAGGUGAUAAACUUAAUCUUAGUAAGUGCUCAAAGAAUGAUUUAGAGAAAGAAUAUGUGAAGAACAUACCAUAUUCUAGUGUAAUUCAUAGUUUCAUGUAUGCACAGGUUUGCAUUAGGCCAAACAUUACUUUUGUAGUAGGAGUUCUUGAGAGAUAUCUUUCUAAUCCUGGUAUGAAUUAUUAGGUUGCUACUAAGAAAGUGAUAAGGUAUUUGCAAAAAACCAAAGACCAUGUAUUGGCUUACAAAAAAGUGGACAAUUUUAAGAUAGUUGGGUAUACAGAUUCUAACUUCGCUAGUUGUUAGGAUGACAUGAAGUCCAUUCCAAAAUAUAUUUUUAUGUUGGCUAGAGGAGUUGUGUCUUUGAAGAGUAUGAAGCAAACACUUUUAACUUCUUCUAUCAUGCAAGCUGAGUUUGUAGCAUGCUUUGGAUCUGCUAGUAGGCAAUUUAGCUUAAAAUUUUCAUUUCAGGUCUUCGCAUUGUUGAUUCCAUCUUUAGACUAUUAUAUAUUUAUUAUGAUAAUAAGUAUCUUGUAUUGUUUUCUAAUAACAACAAAAGCACUAACGGGUCUAAACAUUUUGAGAUAAAAUAUCUCAAGGUUAUAAUUUUGUGAAAAAUGGUGAGGUUGUUGUCGAACACAUUGAGACUAACAACCUGAUUGUUGAUCCUUUGACUAAGGGGUUAAAACCUAUAGUAUUUAGUAAACAAGUUGAAAGUAUGAGUAUUCUAGGAUUUUUUGAUGUAAUUCAUCAGUGGGAGUAUAUCAUUGAGUUUCAUACUCACACAUCAUGGUUUAUCAUUAUGUUGGACCCUUUUUCUUUAUAUUUGAAAUAUUUAUGUGAUAUUUGAUUCUAUGCUUGAAUGAUAAUUAUCGUUGGUUAAUAUUUUAUAUUAUUACUUAUUAUGUUGGUACAUUUUAAAAAAUUAAAGUUUUUCAUAUACACUGUAAAGUCUUAAGACUUGAUAUCUAUUUUAAAUACAACUUUAAUAUUUUUUGGAUGUCUCAUAAAUGAUACCAACAAGUGACCUCAAGGAUAUUAAAGAGAUACAUAGGCACAUAUGGAGACUGUAGAGAUUUCUUAGCAAGUUCAGAGUAAUCAACAAGAGGACUAAUAAUGAAAAUGACACAUUAAGAUCAUAUUUAGGAGUUAUUUUCUUACUACAUAGCCACAAUGAGAUCUAUUGUCAAUAGAGUCUUUGGUAUUUAUAACUAUGAAUUGGUCUUAUGUCAAUAAAGGGCAUUAAGGCUGCAUGAUUCAGUAUUAUAUGAUUUUAUUAUAUAGGAUUAUUAAGAUGUUGUCUCAAAAACUAAAUUAUUUUCAAAAUUAUGACCAUAUCAAAGUAAAAUAAAUCAACCUGGAGUCUUAUUUUCAAGUCAAAUUUUCUUAAAAUCAAACAACCCAAUUAUUAUUGCCCAAGUGAAAGAAUAUUAAAAUUUUUCGUAAGUGGGCUACUAUUAAUUGGUGAUUUUAAUUUUAGUAAAAUCGACUAAUGGAUUUAGUCUUAAUACGAGAUAAGCAUGAGAGUCUAAUUAAUUUAUCGUGAUCAAUUAAGUGUGGGUUUUGCACAUUUUAUUGGAUCAGUAUGGUGUAGCGGUUGUAUAGGCUUUUGGCUUGAUAAACUUUAAUGGGAAUGUGACUAGGAUUAUUUAAAUAUAAGGCUAAGUCCCCUCUUCACUUCUCACAUUCGGUAAUUGCCCAUUGAGAAACUACUAUUAGAGAGAAAAACGAAGAGAAAGAUCAUAGUCAUUUUGAGAUCGUUUCGCUUCUAUGAUUUUAUGAUGUCUACCCAAACAAGUAUUCCUGGUCUCUUCGAUUGAAGUAUGGUAUUCUAAUUUUCACACAAUGAUCGUAGGAUUAUGCUUACAAUAUGGUCACUUUAACUUGAACCCAAAUGAAACGUUGUAUUAUGCUUUUGUCAAGGUAUCUUACUCAUAUAUUAAUGUAUAUAUGUAAUGUUAUGGGUUAUUUAUGAUGCAAUGCCAUAAAAUAUAAAUAUGUUUUUUUUUUUUCAAGUUAUGAAUGACUUUAAUAAUUUAUUUAAGAAUUUUGUGAUGAAUCAUGGUAAUGUUGAAUUAAAUGAAGAUGAUCAACAGAGAAUAGCCACAAUUGUUACAAAAGUUAAGCAGAAUAAUAUUAUAAUGUAGAAGAUAAUGCAAUCAAUAGCAUAUUGGUGCAUUAUGAAACUUAUUUCACUAAUCAGCUAAGUAUGAAAUCAAAUUAUAUUGGAGAAAAAUGGGUGCAAGAGAUAUUAAAUGGGCAUGAUAGUCAUUGUAUGAAUAGUUUUAGGAUACCAAAGAAUAUAUUUUAUCAUUUGUUGCAUGAUUUGCAAACAAGUUAUGGUUUAAAACAUGGGAAUGUAUCUAUACUGAAGAAGUUAGCAUUAUCAUUAUACAUUAUUAGACAUAGGCAAACAAAUUUUAACGUGAGAGAGCAAUUUUAACAAUUUGGUGAAACUAUUAAUCGAAUCUUUUCUAAUAUGUUCAAUUUGUAUGCUCAAAUAGGAGUAGAUACAAUUAAACCAAUUGAAGGUCAAUUUGCAGAAGUACAAUCUCACAUUUGAAAUGAUAAAAGAUAUUGGCCAUACUUUUAGGUAAAAUUUAGAGAUUUGAAAUAAAUUUAAGAUAAAAGUUAUUAAUGAGUUUAAUCUCAUAAUUUUUAUUUGAUUGUAGGAUUGUAUUGGAGCUAUAGAUGGAACUUAUAUAAAAGCUUGUAUUUCUCUAUCCCAAGAAAUACCUUACUUUGGUAGGAAAGAUGAACUGACACAAAAUAUUAUGGUAGCUUAUGACUUUAAUAUGUGCUUCAUUUUUUCAUAUCUUGGUUAAAUAGGUACAACACAUAAUAGUAAAAUUUUUUUUCAAUCACUUAGAAGGCAAAACUUGAAUUGUCCACACCUUUCACUAGGUUAAAGAUUUUAUAUUAUUUACUAAUUAUUUAAAAUAAUUUUGGGUUCAAAUUUAUGUUUGUUCAAAAUGUAAAUAAUUUUUGUAAUUUUUAUUUUUUAUAGGUAAAUAUUAUCUUGUGGAUUCAGGAUACCCACAAAUGGUUGGUGAUUUGGGACCAUACAAAGGAGAAUGAUAUCAUUUACCUAAUUUUCGUUGAGGUAGUCGUUGUAUAUCAGAAAGAAGGAAAUUUUUAAUCAUGCACAUUCUUCAUUGCAUUCUGUGAUUGAACAAACAUUCAAAGUAUGGAAGAAAAAAUGGCCAAUUUUGUGAGAUAUUCCAAGUUAUUCAUUUGAGAAGCAACUUUUAAUCAUAAAUACUACAAUGGUUUUGCAUAAUUACAUUCAAAGACAUCUAGAUCAAGUGAUGAAGAUUUUAGAGAAUUCGAGAAUAUGCUUGAUAUGUCAAUUUCUACAAGCAAUUUUGUUCGAGGUGAAUCAAGUUCUGUUAAUUGUAGAGAAAAUGAUCAUGAAAUUACAAUGUUAAGAGAAACAAUAGUGGCUAGUCUAAUGGGUUCAUUUUCCCAUGCACUCUAGUAUAUUACAUAAUUCUAAUAAAACUGUGUGCUUUAUAAAGUUAAUUUGUUUUACUGUAUUAGAAAAAUUAUUCAAUAAAAUCUUUAAAAUAUUUUAAUGGUUGUACUUUUAUAGUCAUUUUUGUUGUUUUCUGUAACUUGUUCUAAUUACAUGAAUAUUAAAGGUAAAUUUUUACUUAUACAUGGAAAAAGGAAGUAGUUUAUUGUAAUUUUUUUUAUAUAUUUUAGUCUUUUAUAAAUUGAAAAUGAGUUUUCACUAUGUUGUAAGUCCAUUGUUUUAUAAUUAGAAAUUUUAAAUGAUGAUGUCUAAAAUUUUUUCUUCAUUUUGGUAUCUUAUUUCAAAUUUUAAUAAAUAAUUAUGUUAAAAUAAUCAAAUUUGUUAGUUGUGGUCACUAUAAGAAAAUUGCCUUGUACUGACACUAAAAAAAUCAUCGAUAAAACUUAAAAAUCCAUUAGUAUAGCAUAAUAAACUUUAUACUGAUAGUCAAAAUAUUUAUUUUGAUAAAUUUAUAACUGUCAAUAUAUUCUUUGUCAGUACAAACAUAUACUGAUGGUUUUUAAGUUAUCAAAAUAUAUAACAGAGAUAUAUCAACAGUUCUAGUCCAUCAGUAUAUAUAAAGCCAAUGGUAUAGCAAUUGUUGUGUGUUCCACAUUAUACCUUUUAUCGACGGUUAUCUUCCAUCAGUAUACAUUAGUAUAUUUUAAAUUUUCCAACUUAUACUGAUUGUAUCUUUGUCAAUGUAUCUUUUACCAGUGGUCAAUGCUCGUUGGUAUAGCCUUGUGUGUUUUUACUUUUAUUGAUGAUCUAUCCGUGAUGAUUGUUAGUAUAGCCUGAAAUAUUCCAACAGUAAAGUGCGUUGGUAUAAAUUUUAAGGUGUCAAUAAAAAUUUUCUUUUGAAUUAUAUUUUCAAUUAUUAAUAUUAAUUUAUUUAUAAUAAUAAUAUGAUAUGGUUUCAUAUAAAGUAAAAAUACACAAAAAAUAAAAGAUAUUUAAUAAUAUUUGAAAUAAAACAACAACCAAAUUGUUUUAUAAUCUGUAAACUUAAAAUAAGUCAAGAACUAAUGUCAUUGAACCAUUUAGAAAAAAAAAAAAAAGAACAUUAAAUGUCUAUGAUUGAAUGUCUACAAAUAUAGUGCUCGAAAGAUAAUUCCCCAAACUAAGUGGUCCCAUCAUAAAUUUCUACAGAAAAGCAUCUAUGCAGCAUAAAAUACACAAUUAAAUAAUUAAGUUAAAAGCAAAAAGAAUUAGUGUAAUUCUAAAAAGGAUUUGUACAAAAAACCAAUACAAGUAUGAUUUGAUUGAAUGUCUACAAAUACAGUACUCGAAAAAUAACUCCCCAAAGUAAGUGAUCCCAUCAUAAAUUUCUACAGAAAAGCAUCUAUGUAGCAUAAAAUACACAAUUAAAUAAUUAAGUUAAAAGCAAAAAGAAUUAGUGUAAUUUUAAAAAUGAUUCGUACAAAAAACCAGUACAAGUAUGAUUUGUAUUUUGCUUAAAAUCCAUCCAGGUCCAUUAUGAUAACAACCAUUUCUAAUUUCUUAUUUAUAUUUAUUUUUUUUCUAUUUUUACAUCUAACAAAGCCACAUGAGAUGAGCAAACAUAUGACCUCAUAUAUAAAAACACUGUUAACAACUGGUAAAGAUCAUUAAACCAAAUUGCAUUGUAUAAAAAACAUGAGAACAAUACAAUGAAUAGCAACAAUUACAUACACAUGAGAAGCAUAAAGCAAUGAAUUAAAUUUUAUUGUAUUAUUCUUGCAUUUACCCUUACAUACACAUGAGAAAUAUAAUGCAAUGAAUUAAAUUAUAUAUAUUGUUCUUACAACAAUAAUCACUUUAUCUCUACUUGUUUGGAUGAACACCCACACUAUAAUUGUAACAAGCACAAGAUAUUUGAUACACGUAUAAAUGUACCCUCCUAUAGUACAUAUAAAAAAUAUUUUGCAUAUGCAAUCCUUGAUAGAAAAACAAUUUCUCUGGCUAGUAAUAGAAGAAAAAACUAUAUUGCCUAGUGACUAAAAAAUAAAUCAACCCUAAACAAACACAGAUUUUGGUUCAUAUCCACUCAUAAUAGUUUGUUAGCAUACAAUUACAACAAUGACAGACUUUCACAAUUAUAUAAUUCAAAACCUAGAUUCAAACAUUGAUUUUGACAUUUUAUCUAGGAAACAAGAAUCAAGCAAAACAUUUCUACAUAUAUAUCAGGUGACGAUAAGUUUACCAUUUUAAUUUUGAUUAGGUUGAUGAGUUGAAUUUGAAGAUCGAUAGUUUUUCAUGUGUGAUUUUUGAAGCACUACUAGCAUUAGAAGCUUAAAAAUAAUUCAAAAUAAAUUUGAAUAAGGUUCAUGAUUCAUGAUUAAGAUGACAAGUUACAUAUAUAUAAACUAAAAUAGAUAUUAUAUAUACCUCUCUAUUCAUCAUGUGAGUAAUAGUAUUCAAGACAUUUAUAUUCUCAUUUGAAAAUUGUCUUUGAAAUAAUGAUAAGACAAUAUUUAAAGUUUCUUUUAAAUCUUUAAUUUUAACCUUCAACUUUUAUACUUCUUCCUUAUACUGUACAACUUUAGAAAAUAAAGGACUAAAUUGUUUAAAUAAAGUAAACACUGUACUUUUACAAUAAACAUGCCAUUUUUUUUUUGCCCUUUAACUUUUGAAUAGUUCUAUGAACUCCCUUUAAAAUUCUGAGCACUAGUUUCAUUCAAACUUUUUUUAAUGAAUUCCUAAAAUUGUAAAAAAAUAUUUUAGUACAAAUAAACCAAACAUAAGUAAAAGCAAGUAUAAACUAAAUCAAAUACCACAAGUUUAACUGCCUUGUCAUUCAUAAUACUUUCAUCUUUACAUGUAUGAGAAAGUAUAUACACUUCAGUAUGUGAUAGUAAAAUUCCAUUAGCUUCUUGUUUCUACAAAUGUAUAACAUUAAUUAUUAUAAUGACAAAACUAUACAUAUAAAAAGUAAACUUCAUAUUCAUUUAAUUGAGUACCACAAAGAAAAUUUAUAUAUGUACCAAAGUUUGAAUGAUCUUCGAGAAUGAUUUUGUUUCUGUGCAAUAAAGCUCAUCUAAUUUUGAACAGUUUGUUUUGUUUGUCUCACUUCAUUUUUUUAAACAAAUGAACAAAAAAAGAUGCAUUAUAAUAGCUCAUUAUUAUAUCAUAGUGCUAAAACAAAGUAAAUACUAUUUAGAUUUCAAUUCAGUCUUCAUUGCCUUCAUUUAGCAUCGAUGUUUUUUAUUGCCAAACCUUUAAUUUUUUGAAUUUUUUCUUCAUCAACACACUUAUCAGAAUCAAACGUAUGAAAUUUGAACUUUGACUAAAACUUUAAAAAAUAAUUAAAAAUAAAAUAUUAAUAUAUCUAAUGAAUUGAUACUAAAAGAUUAUUGUCAUGGCAUUAACUAGCAAGUAAAAUAUUAACGUAUUGAUACCUCUAAUGUUUUUCAUAUUUUUUUUAUCACUUAACAUUCCAUGCCAAUUUAUAUAAUUAAUUGGUGCAAAGUUAGGCAUUCUCACCUUGCUACCAAUUAAUCGAGUUAAAGAGCAAUAUUUUUCACUAAUAGGUACAACAUCAUCAUUGACUUUAAUAAUAGCACAUUCCCUUUCUUCCAAAUCCUAAAGAUUAGCCAUAUGUGUAGGACCUCGAGCUUUUUAUGUUGAGCAUUUCCUACAUAAAAAAAUUACAUGCAAAAAUAAUAAUUAAAUUCAUUAAAAAAUUUAAGUGUACAAUAAUUUAACACAUAAAGAUUUAUACUAACAGAAUAUAAUGUUUCUAUACCUAAAUUAUGUUUCACUUGUUCAUCUUGAUUUUUAUUAUUUAUAAAUUGAGAAAUUGGUUCUUAAGAUUCUUGUGAAGGCUCAUAUUAUGAAGACUGGUUUUCAAGGCACAUGUUCUUUAAAUUAUGCUUGCAAUUGAGAACUAAAGACAUGAUUUGCCCUAGUGAUAUUUAAUCGUUUACACUUUGCCAUCUUAAGUCUAAUAAUACACCAAAUUUAGUAAGUACAAUAUAAAAGAGAACUUGAUUACAGCAAAUCAUAUUAAGAAUUAAGUACAAUUUAAUAAACAACUUGAUCACACAUAAAAUUAAAUGAUUUAAGCUGGUAACACAAAAACAAAGUAAUAGUAAACUAUAUCUUACAUUGCAAAACCUUUACAUAAAGCUAAACUAUUACAUAGAAUUAAAAAUGUCCUCCCAUUAUGUUUAUAUAUGGGAUCUUCUUUUACAUGCUCAUUUUUCAUCUUUGAUGUGACUUUCACUCCUUCAUCGUCAACAUCACUUCUAACCUAAUUUGAAGCACUAUGUGUGUCAUCAAAUUUCAUAUGAAUUUUUUCAUUCUCUUGGUCUUUAUAUAAAGAUAAUCCAUCACCUAUAUCAAAUAUAUCUUUAAGUUUUGCAUGCUUGACAAGAACCCAACCAUUAUGUUUUUCAUCAUUAAAAUAAAAAACUUUUUAGCUUGUGAUGUUAAGACAAAAAGAUCAUGAACUAAAUUAGUUCCAUUAUAAGCUGAUGUGAAAAAUUCACAAGAGUGAAAUCAAACUUAUCUUUCUUGCAACAUCUAUUUAUAUCAAUCUAAUCAUCUUUAAAUAACACAACCUUAAAUUUACCAAUAUAAUUCAAUUGAAUAAUGCCUUUUAAAAUCCCAUAAUAGUUAACUUCCCCUCAAUAGGUUGCAUAUCUCUUGUACUCGCAUAACUCAUCAUCUUAGUUGUUAAAAUCCCAUUGUUUUAAGUUUUCAAGUAUUUCUCACAUGCCUUGGUAUGGAAUUUAAAACCAUUAAUGAUAUAAUCAAUGUAUUUCCUAACAGUAUCUGUUGGACCAAGAGCAAGCCAUUUAAGUUGGUCUAUGAUGCUUGCAUGUUUUUGUUGAUCCAAAUUGGCAACCUAAGCAAUUUCAUAAUUGCUUAAAAUAAUUAACUAUAGAAACUUUGAUCAUAUACUCCAAACCAUGAUGUAUGACUUACAUAAUCAUGAAACCAAUCAUGAAAAAUUUUACUUUACAAUUUUUGUAUCUCAUAUGACAUAAGCCAAAGAGACCAAUUACGUAUCUUAAUAACUUGCUCAUGUUUCUUACAUGAAAAAAAAUUCUUGGAAGACUGUACAGUAUAUUACGAAAAAAAAUUAUCAACUAUAAUAUGUAUGUGGAUAUGUGUUAUUACUUUAUAAAAGGAGCAACCUCAUCAGAAUUAAAUAGCACAUAUCAAUGUGCUUCAACCAAAGUUUUCUUAUCAAGUAUAAUGUAUAAGACCCUUUUAUGCUUGUUAACAUUAAAACUUUUAUGUUUUUUCCUUCUCAACGAUCUCCUUAUAGUAGAAAGAAUAGAUACAUCUUAUUUUACAAAAAGAUUUUGAUCUUUAUUUCAGAUGAGUUGAUUAAAAUAAUCUCUAUCCCAUCAAAAUAACAUGAACAAAAAGUUAUGUAUUCAUUUGUUAUGUAGCUUUUUGCAAUUGAACUUUCAGGACAAGCUCUAUUGUGCACAUAUGAUUUAAGAGUAAGAUAAAACCUAUUUAAAUAGAAGUUCAAUUAAAAAUAUCAUUAGCAUAUAUACUAGUUAAAAUUUAGUAUAAAAAUCUAUAACACUCUAAGAUAUACCUCUCAAUAGGAUACAUCCACCAAUAUAUGACUAGACGGGCAAUUUUGCUUCAUUUGCUAAAUGGAUAACUAAAUAUACCAUUAUUGUGAAAAAAUAUGGAGGAAAAAUCUUCUCCAUUUCACAUAGAAUUGAUGCAACCCGAGACUCAAAAUAAUUUAAGCUCAUGCUCUUGAAACUUUAAAACAAAGUUUUUUAAAGAAGGUACAUAAUUCAAUAAGAAUCGAGCAUAUUUUAUCAGGUAAAGACCAUCAUAUUGCUACGAGAAGAAAUUCUUGCAUUAAAAGAUGACAAUCAUAACUUUUGAGCCCUAUUAGCUUUCGUUGUUUAAGUUGCAUACAACGCAAGAUAUUAGAAGAGUAUUCAUCCAAAUUUUUCAUUUCCUUGAGAAUCUUUAAAAAAAAAAAUUUUUUUCGUUUAAGCUCAUUUAAUAUAAGCUUGAGACAAAUAUUGGGUGUUAGUGCCAAGAUAAGUCUUUGGAUGAAUAACACUUCUUACACAUUUUUAUACAAGGUCAAGUCAUGCUUUGUAGUUAUCCUUUAGCCUCUCUUCUUACCCAAUCAAUAUACCAAGAAUGUUAUCACAAAUAUUCUUUUUAUAUGCAUCACAUCAUGAUUGUGACAUAAUAGAAGAUAUUCCUAAUAAGGUAAUAUGAACAAAAUACUCUUCUUUUUUCAUGGCCCAUCUUCAUUACCAUUCCAUUAUUUCAAUGGUCUCAACUCUUCACUUUUAGAUAAUGGUGAAGGAGCACUUUUAAAUUCUUAAGUCCCAUUAAAUGAGUUUUUAUCAUUUCAAAACCUAUAAUUUGGUUGUAACCACCUAUGAUAGCACAUGUAAUAAUAUUUUUUGCCAUGUUAUAAUCACUUAGAUACAGUAUCAAAUCCAUAACAAGAAAAUGCAUACUCUCCCCUAGUACUCCAUCCAGACAAAUUGGCAUAUACAAGGAAGUCAUUAAUGGUCCAAAAUUAUGCUACGUGCAGUUGAAAGUUUUGAUUUUUUAAGGCAUCAAAAGUCUGAACACCUACUUUCAAAAAUUUUUACAACUCUUCUAUCAAAGGUUGCAAGUAGAUAGCUAUAUUAUUUUCAGGACCUUUUGGACCAAGAAUAAAUAGGGAUAGAAUAAAUUUUGGUUGUUUCAUGCACAUCCAUAAAGGUAAGUCAUAAGGUAUCAAUAUAAUAGGUCAAGUGUUAUGUGUCACACUUAUAGUUUUGAAAUGGUUAAAACCAUCAAAAGAAAAUCCCAAGCAAACAUUAUGAGGGUCAAAUGAAAACUCAGGAUAUCGAGAAUCUAAUUCUUUCCAAGCUAGAGAAUUGUAAGAUGUUUUAGACAUCCAUCCUUAAUACGCUCAUGUUCAUGCCAAGUCAUUAAUGGAACAGUCUUUAAAAACAUGAAUAACCUUUGAAGUCUCGAAAUUAGAGGAAACCAAUGCAAAAUCUUUGUAUUUUUUUUCUUUUUUUCUGACACUGUAUGUUUAUGAUCACUUUCUACAUCAUUUAACAUCUCUUUUCACCUAGAAGCCCUACAUUUUGAACACAUUUCUUCAUUUAUCUUAUUCUUUCAAAACAAUAUACAAUUAUUGAGGCAAGCAUGAAUUUUUUCAUAUCCCAAACUUACGAUAGAAAUCAUCUUUUUUAAUUCAUGAUAUGACCCGACAAUGUAUUACCCUUUAGUAGAGCAAGUUUCAAUAACUUUAAUAAUGUAUUGAAAGAUUUAUUUGUUUAGCCAUUAAAAUACUUAAUGUGGCAUAAAUAAAUUACAAAGGAGAACUUUAUGAAGUUUUUGCAAUUUGGAUGUAGUUUCUCCUCCGCAUCUUUAAGUAAACCAUAAAACUUGUCACUAUUAAUUCUAUGACUAUAAUGUUGCUCUCCACCGGUAUCUACAAUUGUAUGUUAACCAUGAACAUUCAUACCUCUUUAAGCCAUCAUAUCAUGUAAUAAAUCUUGAAUGUUAGGACCUAACUCUCUUUUUUCCUCAUUAGUUGUUCUAGUAGAUAAACAUGCAUCCAAGGCCUUUCUAUGAAAUAUCCAUUGAAUAUAUCCUUUGAGAAAACCAUCACAUAUUAUAUAAUCAAAUGUAUCUCUUUUACACACGCUUUAUAUAUGUUGACACAUUUAACAUAAGGACACCAAAAUUUUUCAUCCUUAGAUGAUCUUGUAAAGGCAAAGUCUAAAAAACUAGUAACCUAUUUAUGUUUUUUUCAUUGGCUCUUGAUAUGAUAUUUAUCCAUGUCUUAUCCAUAGAAUGUAGAAUGAUUUGUCCUAAUAAUAAAAUUAUAUUUAAUUACCUCACAUUUUAUGUACAUAUAAGAAAAAGAAAAAAAAUAAUAAUGUGACUUGAUAUAGUAACAAUAUAAAUAACUAAAAAUUUUAAUUUAAAUAACUCAAUGUAUCAUUUUUUAAAAAAACUUAAAAAUUGAAAUAAACUUGACAGUAGCAAUCAAAUUUAUCUAAAGAAAAACUCUUUUAUGUCCUAAUAGAUAAGACACAACCAUGAAAGAAAAACUCCUAAAAGAUACUAAUAAGCGAUGGAAUUGAAGUAACAUGUGGUUUAAACAAACUUUUAGCUAAUCUAAGAAAAGUCUAAUGAUUGAAGCAAAAGGCUUUAUAACAAAUAGCUUUCAUGACUUGAAUCUAAGGAUUGUCAGUUAAAAGGGAUAUGAUAGAAACAAAUGUGAUUUUCAUGAUGAAGAAUCAUACAAUAUAAUAAUAUACAGCAAGAAAACUCACCCUUUAGAAGCAACCAAGGACUAAAGGUGGAAAGGGACUUCUUACUGUAUCAACGAAUAUGGUAACAACAGAGCUGAAGAAGGGGAUCAUGAGUUGUAAUGGUGGCUGUAAAGAUAAAGAGAAAAAAGAUGGUCUUUUAAAAAAAAUGUAACUUAUUUCAAAAUGAAACGGUAGCCAUCCUUAUCCAAUAGUAAAAUAUCCUACCAUAAUACAAUUAAAUGUCACCAAAAUUUAAGGAGAUGAGCCAAACAAAGACAAAGAAUAAGCAAGCAUUUAUUUAGACCAAUAAGACAAUUUGCAGGCUAAGUAGAAACUUGUAACAAAAUGGUGCAGUUUGUAACAAGUAAAAAUCUGUUAGCAUUGAAACAUUGGAACUUUCAAUCUCUAAAGCUUAAUUCAAAAGGUUACUUUCUCCUUUGUCAAAUAUUAUUGUGCAGUUUGUUAUUUGCUACUCCUCUUCUGCAUCUAUCGUUCAUUAUUGUCAAAUCUCUCAUAACACAACAGUUACUGGGAAAUUGAUGAUAGUUUUGAAAUCCAUCCAAUUCUUACAUGUUUGGAAAAGAAUCCAUAAACCUUAUUCCAACUGUGAGCAACCUAAUCUUGUUUGUUCUCUUAUUAUUUUUAUUUUGAGCGCUUAAAAUUACAGCUAAAAAUGUAAACAACCUAUAAUUUACUAGUGGCAAAAUGAAGUCAAACCGAUAAACUAGUCAGAAAAAAAUGCAACCGCAAACCUUUCGAACUUGUCUGACUAAAAACUCAAAUGCAAAAGUCAAAUCCAACAAAAAUUCAAAUCCUAAAUAACCCAAAUAAAAAAAACUUAACUUGAAAACAAUUCAAAGUCAGAACUUAAUCCAAACUAACAAGAAAUAAUAAAAUGAUAACAUUUUUCAUAAAAUCUAAAAAAUUCUAACUGGCUUGAUCUUAAACCUGACAAAAAAAAAAAACUAAACACGAUACAGUCCAAACUCGAAACCCAAAAUAAUUUAAACCCAAACUUAUCCAAUUACCACUUCUAAAAAUUACUAGCUCCUUCUUCCGUCUGUUGGCAAUUGUUAUACAACGAAAACCUGAUUUUGCAUGGUUUAGAAAUAUCUUAAGUUUCUGUCAGAAAAGCUCAUAGUAAAAAUUAUCAGUAAUGCCAUUUGGCAUCCAUAAGUUUAAUUUAACCAACCACUCAUACAAAGUAUCAAGAACAAACUAUAUUUCUAAUGCCAAACUCUUCAGCUUAAAUAAUAAACAAGGAGAAAAAAAAUGAAGACACCCAAAAAUUGGAAAGAAUAUUGGAAAAUAAUUACAACAAUCAAAUGAAAGGCAUGCAUGCAAGCUCAGCACUUUUACUUUCAAUUUGGUUCUUCCCUCCAAAACAAGUAUUCUUGGUGAAGGUCGCUAUAAUAACCCCUCUUUUAAGGUAUCUUACAUUUAAUUUUAGGCUUCUAUAACAAAAGCUACUUUCGAAUUUUCAUCUUUUGGUGACAGUAAGUGCUUAGCAAGUGCUUCUCUUGUAUUAUAAUUUUUUCAAUAAAUACAUGAGAAAUGGUAUUAAUAGUAAAAUCUCAUUUUUCCUUAAUUAGAUCAAUAUUCAUAUGUAUAAUUAAUUAAAAAUGAUGUGUGCAACUAUGCAUAUAUAACUAAUUAAAUAUAAAGCAUUAAUAGUAAAAUCUCAUUUUUCCUUAAUUAGAUCAAUAUUCAUAUGUAUAAUUAAUUAAAAAUGAUGUGUGCAACUAUGCAUAAAUAACUAAUUAAAUAUAAAUAUACCUAACCAUAUAAAUAUUCAUAUCUAAUUAAAAAUGGUGCGUGCAAUUAUGUAUAUAUAACUAAUUAAAUAUAAAUAUACCUAACCAUAUAAAUAUUCAUAUGUAUAACUAAUUAAAAAUGGUGUGUGCAAUUGUGUAUAUAUAACUAAUUAAAUAUUCAUAUAUAUAACUAAUUAAAAAUGUAUAAAUAUACUUAUAAAUAUACCUAAUCAUAUAAAUAUAUUCAUAUGCAUAACUAAUUAAAAAUGUACACACACAUAAAUAUACCUAACCAUAUCAAUAUUCAUAUGUAUAACUAAUUAAAAAUAGUGUGUGCAACCAUGUAUAUAUAACUAAUUAAAAAUGCUGUGUGUAACUGUGUAUAUACCAUAUCAUUAUUCAUAUGUAUAACUAAUUAAAAAUAGUGUGUGCAACUAUGUAUAUAUAACUAAUUAAAAAUUGUGUGUGUGACUGUGUAUAUACCAAACCCUAUAAAUAUUCAUAUUUAUAACCACAUCUAAUUUCACAACAAAAAUGGUGGAUGCCAUCCAAAUUUAUAACAAGACAGGUUUUGAUUAUUAAGCAAAUUAGACUAUUUAUCGUUUUUAAGGUAAUGAUAUGUUGGCUCCAAAUAAAUUAAACAAAUUAGACUCAGUUUGCUUACUAAAAUAAUUUGCUUACUAAAACAAAUUAAACAAAAAAUUUUACAACAAGAUAGAUUUUGAUUGUAAAAAACAUGGAAAUAGGUAAUCAGCAAUACAAGUUAGGUGAUUUUUCAGUCUCAUCCAAAUUUAUGAAAGAUGCAGAUCAUAGUAAUUUUCACAUGUCUUGUUACAUUGACUUAAGACUCAUUUUAAAAAUUGCCAAGCAACUAAUCUUCAAGACAAAAAAAGACAAAUUAAAAUGUUAGAAAUUAAUAAAAAAAACUCAUAAAUGGUAGGAAAAUAUUAUUCUUCUCUAAAUAAUUAAAGUUUUAGAUUACCAGCAUAGCAAGCAGUCUCCAACUCCUUACUUUCAACAUAUAUUAUGCACUUAUAGUAGCAUUUUAAUUGUAAAAGCAUUUAUCCAAUCGAUAACCCAAAACAGAACAUUGAUUUCAUUUACACUAAUCACUUCACAGAAGUGAAUCAUGUAUCUAAUGUCCCUCUCACUUUUGUAGGUAUACAAAUAUAAUUCUACAUUGCUAUAUAAUGUGAAAGAGAAAUAAUGAUUUGAUAAUGUUCACAUUCUAAUUACAAAGUGUAUCAAUAAAAGAAAAAAGCUAUAAAAUGCCAAUAAAAGGAAAUUUUAUUUAUGCUUUUUAGUGGUUACUAUUUACAGAGGAAUGGACAGUAGAGGAAAUGGACAAUAAAGUGGGAAUGGGAAUUCAAGGAAGGAACAUAAAAAAUUACUAGAAAUUUGCAAAGGCUCAAUAAAAUAAAAAAGCUAUAAAAUACCAAUAAAAAAAAACCAGUCACCAAACAUAAUUCUAAGUCUAAAUAAAAAAUCCUCGUUUGACUAUAUUAGGGCAAGCCAAUCAAAAUUUGGACACUCAACUUCUGAUACUACAAGCAAUAUUCCAACAAGAACUGAAAUUCCAAGGCAGACCCUAAAAUGUCAUUAGAGUCAAAAAUUUUAUUCCUAUCAACCAAUAGUACCUAUAAGCUAUAAAUGAGAUUAAAGGACUAACAAAACAAUCUCUUAAUAAAAGAAAAUAUCUCGCUCAAAAUUGAAAAAUUAUAACGCAAUUGCCUAAACCUUAAAUCUAUUACAAUGAAAAGAGCCAUUGGUGAGAAUCAAUGGCAUGCUCAAUGACACAAAAUUGAAUGUAGAAAAUGAAAAAUAUCUUAGAGAGUGACAAGAGUCUUGAUGCUUCAACUUUGAUUGAACUAUAAAACAAAAUGGGUACUGAUAGGUUUAAGUUUAUAGAGUCAGUGAGAGGUGGAGAAAGUUAGUGAGAGGUAGAUAUUAGGCCAUGAGUACCGAUGGAUUUAAGUAUAUAGAGUCGGUGGGAGGUGAAGAUAAAGAAAUUGAAUUAAAAAAGCUGAUGGGAUUUAAUUUCAUAAACCUAAUUUUUUUCCCAAAUAAAAGCUAGUAAUUUUUUUUUGUUUUGGCCCUAUACUAAUAGUUACAAUAAUAACCGUCCCGUCAAUAUAUAAUAUAUUUAUACUGACGGAUAGUCAUAUACCGUUAGAAAAAGUUUAUUUAUACCAACGAUUAAAUAAAAUAUUAGUAUAAGUAUAGUAUAUUCUAACGAUAUUAAAAAUUUAUCAGUAAAAAUCUCUUUUACUAAUGUAAUUUGACCGUCAGUAUAACCAAGCAUUAGUAUACGAAAAAUUUUUUAUAAUGAGUAAUGCAUAUUAUAAAUAUGAUGUUGAAAGUGUAUGAAAGUUAGUUAUUAUAAACACAUCAACUCAAAACAAAUUUCAAUAAUAAUUUCUAUAUUUCUUAACCUUAAUAUACAAUUUUAAUCUAAAAAUAUUUUCAUUAUUUAUUAAAUAAAAUUUUUAGAUUUUAAAUGUUAAAUAACAAUAACAUAUAUACAUAAAAAUAAUUCUCAAUAUUUAAUAAUAAAAGUAUUAUUUGAUAUAAAAAUAGCUUUACUAAUUUUUAACUCGUUAACAAAAAUAUUAUUUGAUAUUAAAUAAUUUUUAAUUUAAAAAUAUCAAAUAUAUAUUAUAGAUUUAUUGUAUAUAAGUUUUAAUCUAAUAUCCAUAAUGAUCAUUUUCUAUUCUCAUUACACUUUAUCUCACUGCUACUGUUGCUUUUGCAUUUAAACAUAUACCUUACCACUGACUUUAAUCUCAUCAUUAUAGUACCUAACCUCACUGCCACUUUAGUUUUCAAUUUCACCAAAACUAAUCUCAUUGUCUAUCUAAAUUUCACCAAAACUAAUCUCAUUGUCUAUCUAAAUGAACACUAAGAUUAAGAUGAAUCUACUGAAAUGUGCCUUCGGUGUCUCAACAAAAGCAAACUUGAUUUUUUUUUUUUUUUUGUUAAUUGGUAAUUGGUCAAGCUUAAAAAGAGAGUACCUUUUUCAUUUUCAAUCAAAAUCGAGGUGAAUAAGUGCUUUGAGUUGCUCCAUCAUCAACCACUAGUAAUGGUUUCUUCAAUUCUAAUGGGAAUCUUUAUU